rnacentral:rRNA from 1 species
CACCUACGGGGGGCAGCAGUGGGGAAUAUUGCACAAUGGGGGAAACCCUGAUGCAGCAACGCCGCGUGAGUGAGGAAGUAUUUCGGUAUGUAAAGCUCUAUCAGCAGGGAAUAGAAAAGAAGGUACCUGAAAAAGAAGCCCCGGCUAACUACGUGCCAGCAGCCGCGGUAAUACGUAGGUGGCAAGCGUUAUCCGGAUUUACUGGGUGUAAAGGGCGUGUAGGCGGGGACGCAAGUCAGAUGUGAAAACCACGGGCUCAACCUGUGGCCUGCAUUUGAAACUGUGUUUCUUGAGUACUGGAGAGG